rnacentral:lncRNA from 1 species
CCAACAAAACCUGUCCUAGUCUAAUUGGACCUUCGACCCAUUUCACCUGUCCUAAUCUAAUUAUCGAGCAUUUAGCUCGAAUCUUGCCUCCACCUGUGUUAAAUACAACCUUGGCUUCAUGGCCCGAACGAAUGAAUAAAAUAAAUAAACCAAUAAAAUAAAUAAAGACAACAAUAAUUAAACGCAAUGAAAUAAUAAAUGAAACUUUUGUCUCUUAGCCGCUUCAAGAAUGGGACUUUAACCCAUUUAUCCUUCUUUCGACUCCAUGCAUCAGUUCAUUACUUAACCAACUUCGGGCUUGACUCAACGGAUGGGCCUGAUUAGCCCAUUAGGGAAUGCAAAUAGGAAAGAGUCCUUUUGGACUCCGAGGCGGGUUCAUGCGAA